rnacentral:rRNA from 1 species
UACGUAGGGUGCAAGCGUUGUCCGGAAUUAUUGGGCGUAAAGAGCUCGUAGGCGGUCAGUCGCGUCUGCUGUGAAAACCUAAGGCUCAACCUUGGGCUUGCAGUGGGUACGGGCAGACUAGAGUGCGGUAGGGGUGACUGGAAUUCCUGGUGUAGCGGUGGAAUGCGCAGAUAUCAGGAGGAACACCGAUGGCGAAGGCAGGUCACUGGGCCGCAACUGACGCUGAGGAGCGAAAGCAUGGGGAGCGAACAGG